GACGAACGCUGGCGGCGUGCCUAAUACAUGCAAGUCGAGCGAACCAAUAAGAAGCUUGCUUUUUGUUGGUUAGCGGCGGACGGGUGAGUAACACGUGGGUAACCUGCCUGUAAGACCGGGAUAACUCCGGGAAACCGGUGCUAAUACCGGAUAGAUUAUCUUUCCGCAUGGAGAGAUAAGGAAAGAUGGCUAUUGCCAUCACUUACAGAUGGGCCCGCGGCGCAUUAGCUAGUUGGUGAGGUAACGGCUCAGCAAGGCGACGAUGCGUAGCCGACCUGAGGGGGUGAUCGGCCACACUGGGACUGAGACACGGCCCAGACUCCUACGGGAGGCAGCAGUAGGGAACCUUCCGCAAUGGACGAAAGUCUGACGGAGCAACGCCGCGUGAGCGAAGAAGGUCUUCGGAUCGUAAAGCUCUGUUGUUAGGGAAGAACAAGUAUCGGAGGAAAUGCCGGUACCUUGACGGUACCUGACGAGAAAGCCACGGCUAACUACGUG
rnacentral:rRNA from 1 species